rnacentral:tRNA from 1 species
GGGCCGUUAGCUCAGUUGGUAGAGCAGUGGACUUUUAAUCCAUUGGUCGCAGGUUCGAGCCCUGCACGGCCUACCA